rnacentral:rRNA from 1 species
AUACGUAGGUGACAAGCGUUCUCCGGAUUUACUGGGCGUAAAGGGCGUGUAGGCGGUCUUGCAAGUCAGAAGUGAAAUUCCUGAGCUCAACUCGGGCGCUGCUUCUGAAACUGCAGGACUUGAGUGCUGGAGGGGAUAGCGGAAUUCCUAGUGGAGCGGUAAAAUGCGCAGAUAUUAGGAAGAACACCGGUGGCGAAGGCGGCUAUCUGGACAGUAACUGACGUUGAGGCUCGAAGGCGUGGGGAGCAAACAGGAUUAGAUACCCUGGUAGUCCACGCGGUAAACGAUGAAUACUAGGUGUAGGGGGUAUCGACUCCCUCUGUGCCGCAGUUAACACAAUAAGUAUUCCGCCUGGGGAGUACGGCCGCAAGGUUGAAACUCAAAUGAAUUGACGGGG